AAAGAAACAAAAAAUUAUUUUCAUGAACACAAAAGUAAGUGCAUGUCUAUGAGGCGCCAUAGAGCUUCACUUUCUGUGGAACAAAGUGUUUUUCUACCUGGCAGACCUAAAAAUAAAAUAAAAACAAACUUACAUCAAACUAAACCGAUGACAUUUUGUAUACCUUUUACAAAUGAAAAUGGAGUUCUUACAGACUUAAACAUCACACAUCAUGAUUUUCUGCACUUCUUUCUCCUCUCAACCAAUGGUCAAUACCAAAUAUAAUCAAACGUAUACAGGUAUUGAUGUCCACUUAGGUCCUCAAAACUGCCGGUAGUUCUACAAAAAAUGGUGUGUGUGUGUGUGUGUGUGUAAUAAAUCAAA